rnacentral:rRNA from 1 species
CAUCCCGAUGCUAUUUCUAGAGAUAGAAAGUACUUCGGUACAUCGGUGACAGGUGGUGCAUGGUUGUCGUCAGCUCGUGUCGUGAGAUGUUGGGUUAAGUCCCGCAACGAGCGCAACCCCCUAUUGUUAAUUGCCAUCAUUCAGUUGGGCACUCUAGCGAGACUGCCGGUAAUAAACCGGAGGAAGGUGGGGAUGACGUCAAAUCAUCAUGCCCCUUAUGACCUGGGCUACACACGUGCUACAAUGGUUGGUACAACGAGUUGCGAGUCGGUGACGGCGAGCUAAUCUCUUAAAGCCAAUCUCAGUUCGGAUUGUAGGCUGCAACUCGCCUACAUGAAGUCGGAAUCGCUAGUAAUCGCGGAUCAGCACGCCGCGGUGAAUACGUUCCCGGGCCUU